GAUCUGGCUCAGGAUGAACGCUAGCUACAGGCUUAACACAUGCAAGUCGAGGGGCAGCAUUUCAGUUUGCUUGCAAACUGGAGAUGGCGACCGGCGCACGGGUGAGUAACACGUAUCCAACCUGCCGAUAACUCGGGGAUAGCCUUUCGAAAGAAAGAUUAAUACCCGAUGGUAUAAUUAGACCGCAUGGUCUAAUUAUUAAAGAAUUUCGGUUAUCGAUGGGGAUGCGUUCCAUUAGGCAG
rnacentral:rRNA from 1 species